AUUGGACGCUGGCGGAAUGCUUUACACAUGCAAGUCGAACGGUAGAGGGGGCAACCCCUCGAGAGUGGCGAACGGGUGAGUAAUAUAUCGGAACGUGCCCAGUCGUGGGGGAUAACGGAGCGAAAGUUACGCUAAUACCGCAUACGAUCUAAGGAUGAAAGCGGGGGAUCGCAAGACCUCGCGCGAUUGGAGCGGCCGAUAUCAGAAUAGGUAGUUGGUGGGGUAAAGGCUCACCAAGCCAAAGAUCUGUAGCUGGUCUGAGAGGACGACCAGCCACACUGGAACUGAGACACGGUCCAGACUCCUACGGGAGGCAGCAGUGGGGAAUUUUGGACAAUGGACGCAAGUCUGAUCCAGCCAUUCCGCGUGCAGGAUGAAGGCCCUCGGGUUGUAAACUGCUUUUGUACGGAACGAAAAGGUCUCUCUUAAUACGGGGGGCUCAUGACGGUACCGUAAGAAUAAGCACCGGCUAACUACGUGCCAGCAGCCGCCGUAA
rnacentral:rRNA from 1 species